GAUGAACGCUGGCGGCGUGCCUAAUACAUGCAAGUCGAGCGAACGGACGAGAAGCUUGCUUCUCUGAUGUUAGCGGCGGACGGGUGAGUAACACGUGGAUAACCUACCUAUAAGACUGGGAUAACUUCGGGAAACCGUAGCUAAUACCGGAUAAUAUUUUGAACCGCAUGGUUCAAAAGUGAAAGACGGUCUUGCUGUCACUUAUAGAUUGAUCCGCGCUGCAUUAGCUAGUUGGUAAGGUAACGGCUUACCAAGGCAACGAUGCAUAGCCGACCUGAGAGGGUGAUCGGCCACACUGGAACUGAGACACGGUCCAGACGCCUACGGGAGGCAGCAGUAGGGAAUCUUCCGCAAUGGGCGAAAGCCUGACGGAGCAACGCCGCGUGAGUGAUGAAGGUCUUCGGAUCGUAAAACUCUGUUAUUAGGGAAGAACAUAUGUGUAAGUAACUGUGCACAUCUUGACGGUACCUAAUCAGAAAGCCACGGCUAACUACGUG
rnacentral:rRNA from 1 species